rnacentral:rRNA from 1 species
CCUACGGGAGGCAGCAGUAGGGAAUCUUCCGCAAUGGGCGAAAGCCUGACGGAGCACCGCCGCGUGAGUGAUGAAGGUCUUCGGAUCGUAAAACUCUGUUAUUAGGGAAGAACAUACGUGUAAGUAACUAUGCACGUCUUGACGGUACCUAAUCAGAAAGCCACGGCUAACUACGUGCCAGCAGCCGCGGUAAUACGUAGGUGGCAAGCGUUAUCCGGAAUUAUUGGGCGUAAAGCGCGCGUAGGCGGUUUUUUAAGUCUGAUGUGAAAGCCCACGGCUCAACCGUGGAGGGUCAUUGGAAACUGUAAAACUUGAGUGCAGAAGAGGAAAGUGGAAUUCCAUGUGUAGCGGUGAAAUGCGCAGAGAUAUGGAGGAACACCAGUGGCGAAGGCGACUUUCUGGUCUGUAACUGACGCUGAUGUGCGAAAGCGUGGGGAUCAAACAGGAUUAGAUACCCCAGUAGUC